rnacentral:lncRNA from 1 species
UAGUAAAUGGGACAAAUUAUUCAUUAAGUCAUUGUUAUGAGUAUAUAACAUAGUAUUAGUAACCAAUGAUCAAGAACAUGUUAUUUAUAGAUGCUAAAAGCAAAUCAACGACGUCGCUUGAAGUUCCGGGUUUGAGUUUCACAAUGUUAGUGAAUGAAAGCCACUCCACAAGCACUGCCAUUACAAACACCAGGAUCAGCGCCACUGCAUACAUGGCGGAGCUGUUCCCGG